CCUCAGCAGACAUAAUUAUAACCUCUUGAAAGACCCUGAGCCUCUAAGCUGCUUCUAGUUUCCCGACCGUCAGAACCUCUUUGAAGUAAUAAAGAAAGAUUCUUCUCAGGAGGGGUCCAGCCAGAGUCGUCACCAGACUGUCAAAGGGGUCCGUGGCACAAAAGAGUUUAAGAAUCUCUGGUGCAGACAAAGAAGAGAGAAAGAGAAAAGGCCUGAACCCUGGAACUCUCCAACAUUUAGUGAUUAAACAUUCAAGAAGGAACCAGCAAAAGACGCUCAAAUGACUGAGUUUACAUGGAGCCAACGAGAUUAUACUUUCUGCCAUCAGACAGAACAAGUAUUCAAAAAGAGACUAACUUUAACUACAGAAACAAAAAAAUUUUAAAUUUGUAUUUUUGUAUACCAGAGUUGUUGCCCAUGAGACAUUGGAGCAUACCAUACUGGGAGGCUUUGAAGCCAAAGGAAGAAAUAUUUCAAGGAAAGAGAAAUCAACCAUAUUAAAUGCUGAUGAAAAUGGACACUCGGAUUUGGCUAGAUGAGAGUUAAGUUGCUCUUAGCUGAGUAAGAGCAGUUUCGGUAGAUUUUUGGAGACAAAAGCUUGAUUUGAAUGGGUAAAGAAGAAAAUGGGAGAUGAGCAAAUAAAGAAAGCAAGUAAAGGUAUCUUUUUGGGGAGUUUUGCCAUAAGAGGAAGCAGAGAAAUUUGGAGGGGUUGCGAGGGGACCUGGAGUCAAGAGAAGCUUAAAUAAAAUUUUUUUAAAUAUUUGUGAUAUUCCAUUAUGCUGAUGAGAAUUAUGAUGAAAUUAAUGAUGCGGGAGAGAGAAUGGAUCACUGAAGAAGAGACAGAGGAUGGUAUCCAAUGGAAAGCUUGGUUUUCAAUUGGAGCAAGACCAGUUCAUCCAUUAUGACAGGAAAUUGGUUAGUGCCAUGAGUUAGUUUUUCAUAUUUAGUGGUUUUCUGAUUGUGUCUAUCUUUUGAUGAUGCCAUCAGCUGAGAAUGGGGAGUGUGGAAGGGUUUUGGAAAUUUGAGGAGAGAAGAUGUAGUUCUGGAGAUUAGGAGAAAUGUAGUGGAACUGCUGAGCAGUGCCAAAGGCCCACUCAAGAUCUGUGAAUAUGAAUUUCAAGAGAGAUAAAUGUGCUUAAUUGUGAGGUUUUCUUCAAAGGCAGCCAUGGAAUAUACAGAAGUGAGUUUGGGAUUUGAAUCUUUCCAAGUGGCUACAGGGAG
rnacentral:lncRNA from 1 species